CUCCUGGAAACGGGUGGUAAUGCCGGAUGCUCCGGUUGGAUGCAUGUCCUUCCGGGAAAGGUUCCAUCGGUAUGGGAUGGGGUCGCGUCCUAUCAGCUUGAUGGCGGGGUAACGGCCCACCAUGGCUUCGACGGGUAGCCGGCCUGAGAGGGCGACCGGCCACAUUGGGACUGAGAUACGGCCCAGACUCCUACGGGAGGCAGCAGUGGGGAAUAUUGCACAAUGGGCGCAAGCCUGAUGCAGCGACGCCGCGUGCGGGAUGGAGGCCUUCGGGUUGUAAACCGCUUUUGAUCGGGAGCAAGCCCUUCGGGGUGAGUGUACCUUUCGAAUAAGCACCGGCUAACUACGUGCCAGCAGCCGCGGUAAUACGUAGGGUGCAAGCGUUAUCCGGAAUUAUUGGGCGUAAAGGGCUCGUAGGCGGUUCGUCGCGUCCGGUGUGAAAGCCCAUCGCUUAACGGUGGGUCUGCGCCGGGUACGGGCGGGCUGGAGUGCGGUAGGGGAGA
rnacentral:rRNA from 1 species